CAGAUGGCACAUUGCAUAAAGAAACGCGAACCCAGCAGCACUCCUGCCAGCGGCAAUUCUGAGUGCUCAUUUCCACUUUGCCAAGACAUUACAUGGGAAGGCAUGUGCGUUUAAGGGCAUCCAAUUGUUUCUGUAUCAGAACAGCAGCAACAUCCCGGGCAGGCCUUUCCUCUGGAGUUCACGUGUAGGUCGUACUGACACACAACAUGGCCUAAAUGGACCAUGGAGGAGGAAGGGACCCCAAAUCCAGGCCAAAUGGGAGCAGGGUUGUCCUCAGGAGGACCCCAGCUAGAAGACUUUCUCUGGAACCCACGGUGCCUCUCACUAAAGUGCCCCAACGUUGGCACAACACCUACCGAAUUGUUGUUGCUGACUCUCUAUGCCCAUGAUUCAACCAGAACAACAUUGAUUCGUUAAAAGGUGCAUGAAUAAACUUGACUCUGG
rnacentral:lncRNA from 1 species